AUGCCCGAACCUAAUAAGAGUGUAAAGGAUGAAGAAGAAAUAUCUCCAGGGGCUGAGGAAAUUGUCAGGAGUGAUGACAUCACAGGAAAAUCCACCAACCAGAGCCACAGGGACCAGAGCCCAGCCCCUCACCCAGAGCAUCCCAGGUACCUGAUACCCAUCUGUGCCUGUGCCAUGGGCUGCCGGCUGCUCUGCUGUGUGGUCCUCUGUGUCCUGGGAGCAGUCCCCAUGGACACCGGAGUUACCCAGACACCAAGACACCUGGUCAUGGGAAUGACAGGUGAGAAGUCUUUGAAAUGUGAACAAACUCUGGGGCAUAAUGCUAUGUACUGGUACAAACAGAGUGAUAAGAAGCCACCGGAGCUCAUGUUUAUCUUCAACUAUAAAAGACUCAGUGAAAAUAUGUCUGUGCCAAGUCGCUUCUCACCAGAAUUCCGUGACAGCUCUCAAUUGCACCUUCGCCUGGAAGCCCUGCAACCGGAAGUCUCAGCCACGUAUCUCUGCGCCAGCAGCCAAGACACAGCCCUGCAGAGUCAGCUCCUCCCUGUACACAAACCUUCGGGCCCAGCCAAGAAGCUGGUGAACAUUUCCUGUGAGAGCCCUGCCAGAAGGUUCAGAGCACAGUACCACCUGCUUAUUCGACCCAUGGGGCAACUUUAA